rnacentral:rRNA from 1 species
CCGAGUUUACAACUCCCAAACCCCUGUGAACAUACCAAUUGUUGCCUCGGCGGAUCAGCCCGCUCCCGGUAAAACGGGACGGCCCGCCAGAGGACCCCUAAACUCUGUUUCUAUAUGUAACUUCUGAGUAAAACCAUAAAUAAAUCAAAACUUUCAACAACGGAUCUCUUGGUUCUGGCAUCGAUGAAGAACGCAGCAAAAUGCGAUAAGUAAUGUGAAUUGCAGAAUUCAGUGAAUCAUCGAAUCUUUGAACGCACAUUGCGCCCGCCAGUAUUCUGGCGGGCAUGCCUGUUCGAGCGUCAUUUCAACCCUCAAGCCCAGCUUGGUGUUGGGACUCGCGAGUCAAAUCGCGUUCCCCAAAUUGAUUGGCGGUCACGUCGAGCUUCCAUAGCGUAGUAGUAAAACCCUCGUUACUGGUAAUCGUCGCGGCCACGCCGUUAAACCCCAACUUCUGAAUGUUGACCUCGGAUCAGGUAGGAAUACCCGCUGAACUUAAGCAUAU